rnacentral:ncRNA from 1 species
AACCUACUUAGGCGGUGCGAUGUCGAGCAUGGUCAGUCAAAUGUAAUAUUGGUAAAAUUCUUAAAUACAUAUGUCUUAUGCAUUUAUAAUCGGCAAUGUCUAUUUAUUUAUUUAUUAUAAUGAAAUUUGAAAGUAUUUAUAAAAAUUUUUAAACGAUGCCAGCUAGCAAUUGGGUGUAGCUACUUUUAUGGCUCCCUCAGUCGUUUCCCGGGAAACCAAAGCUUUUGGGCUCCGGGGGAAGUAUGGUUUCAAAGCUGAAACUUAAAGGAAUUGACGGAAGGGCACCACCAGGAGUGGAGCCUGCGGUUUAAUUUGACUCAACACGGGAAAACUUACCAGGUCCGAACAUAAGUGUGUAAGACAGAUUGAUAGCUCUUUCUCGAAUCUAUGGGUGGUGGUAAAUAGCCGUUCUCAGUUCCUAGAGGAAGUAAAAGUCGUAACAAGGUUUCCGUAGGUGAACCUGCGGAUGGAUCAUUAUUUUAUUUUCCAACCGUUACUAAAAUAAAUAAAUACCAAAUUAAUAUAAAGAUAUAUAAAAUGAAAAUGAAAUUGAAGAUGAGAGCAUAAAAUGAAAAUGAAAUUUAUUAUUAUUAUUAUUAAAUCUGAUCAGGGGAAGUCGAUUUAAUACAAUAUUUGAUUUGAAAAAUUAAAUUAAAUUAAAUUUAAAUAAAGUAAAAUGAGUAUAAAUAUAUGUAGAAUCGCGGUAUGGUAGAGGUGAUUUCGAGUGAGAACGGGUAUCGAUGUAAUAUCGAUUAAAAACGAUAUACGAUGGUGAGGAGUGGUCAGUCAGUCCGAAGAGAGUCAGUCGAAUAGAGUGAGACGGUAAAGUUGCGUCUCAAAGUGUG